rnacentral:rRNA from 1 species
GAUUAACGCUAGCGGCAGGCAUAAUACAUGCAAGUUGAACGGCAGCACAGGUAGCAAUACUGGGUGGCGAGUGGCGCACGGGUGCGUAACACGUAUGCAACCUACCCUAUACAGGCGAAUAACCUUUAGAAAUGAGGGCUAAUACGCCGUAGUAUUACAGAUGGGCAUCUAUUUGUAAUUAAAGAUUUAUCGGUAUAGGAUGGGCAUGCGUCCCAUUAGUUAGUUGGUAAGGUAACGGCUUACCAAGACGAUGAUGGGUAGGGGAUCUGAGAGGACUUACCCCCACACUGGUACUGAGACACGGACCAGACUCCUACGGGAGGCAGCAGUAAGGAAUAUUGGGCAAUGGCCGCGAGGCUGACCCAGCCAUGCCGCGUGCAGGAGGACGGCCUUAUGGGUUGUAAACUGCUUUUAUACGGGAAUAAUAGAGUGUACGCGUACAUUUAUGCAAGUAUCGUAUGAAUAAGCAUCGGCUAACUCCGUG